rnacentral:rRNA from 1 species
GAUGAACGCUGGCGGCGUGCCUAACACAUGCAAGUCGAGCGAACGGACCAGAAGCUUGCUUUUCGGAUGUUAGCGGCGGACGGGAGAGUAACACGUGUAUAACCUACCUAUAAGACUGGGAUAACCUCGGGAAACCGGAGCUAAUACCGGAGAAUAUUUUGAACCGCAGUGUUCAAAAGUGAAAUUCGGUCGUUCGGUCACUUAUAGAUGGAUCCGCGCUGGUUUAGCUAGUUGGUAAGGUAACGGCUUACCAAGGCAACGAUGCAUAGCCGACCUGAGAGGGUGGUCGGCGACCCUGGAGGUGAGACACGGUCCAGACUCCUACGGGAGGGAGCAGUCGAGAAUCUUACGCAAUGGGGUAGAGCCUGACAGAGCAGCGGCGCGUGAGUGAUGAAGGUCUUCGGAUCGUGAAGCUCUGUUAUUAGGUAAGAACAUAUGUGUAAGUAACUGUGCCCAUAUUGACGGUACCUGAUAAGAAAGCCCCGGCUAACUACGUG